GUGUCACCAAGGCGCGUAGCCCCCGUCCCGGUGCAAAGCCAACAAUUGACCGGCAGACGGUCGGACCGAACGUUUGUUUUCAAGCGGUCACCGUUGCUGUCGUAUAUUUUGAUUUCCGGUUGUUAUUAUGAUUUUGUUUUUGGUUUUGGUUUUUUUCGUUCCGCAUUUUUCUCGUUCGCGUCAUCCGCGUACUAUGGGGCAAU